UGUGAGCUCGAUGAGUAGGGCGGGACACGUGGUAUCCUGUCUGAAUAUGGGGGGACCAUCCUCCAAGGCUAAAUACUCCUGACUGACCGAUAGUGAACCAGUACCGUGAGGGAAAGGCGAAAAGAACCCCGGCGAGGGGAGUGAAAAAGAACCUGAAACCGUGUACGUACAAGCAGUGGGAGCCUCUUUAUGGGGUGACUGCGUACCUUUUGUAUAAUGGGUCAGCGACUUAUAUUCUGUAGCAAGGUUAACCGAAUAGGGGAGCCGAAGGGAAACCGAGUCUUAACUGGGCGUUAAGUUGCAGGGUAUAGACCCGAAACCCGGUGAUCUAGCCAUGGGCAGGUUGAAGGUUGGGUAACACUAACUGGAGGACCGAACCGACUAAUGUUGAAAAAUUAGCGGAUGACUUGUGGCUGGGGGUGAAAGGCCAAUCAAACCGGGAGAUAGCUGGUUCUCCCCGAAAGCUAUUUAGGUAGCGCCUCGUGAAUUCAUCUCCGGGGGUAGAGCACUGUUUCGGCAAGGGGGUCAUCCCGACUUACCAACCCGAUGCAAACUGCGAAUACCGGAGAAUGUUAUCACGGGAGACACACGGCGGGUGCUAACGUCCGUCGUGAAGAGGGAAACAACCCAGACCGCCAGCUAAGGUCCCAAAGUCAUGGUUAAGUGGGAAACGAUGUGGGAAGGCCCAGACAGCCAGGAUGUUGGCUUAGAAGCAGCCAUCAUUUAAAGAAAGCGUAAUAGCUCACUGGUCGAGUCGGCCUGCGCGGAAGAUGUAACGGGGCUAAACCAUGCACCGAAGCUGCGGCAGCGACNAAACCAUGCACCGAAGCUGCGGCAGCGACGCUUAUGCGUUGUUGGGUAGGGGAGCGUUCUGUAAGCCUGUGAAGGUGUGCUGUGAGGCAUGCUGGAGGUAUCAGAAGUGCGAAUGCUNACUAUGUGUUGUUGGGUAGGGGAGCGUUCUGUAAGCCUGUGAAGGUGUGCUGUGAGGCAUGCUGGAGGUAUCAGAAGUGCGAAUGCUGACAUAAGUAACGAUAAAGCGGGUGAAAAGCCCGCUCGCCGGAAGACCAAGGGUUCCUGUCCAACGUUAAUCGGGGCAGGGUGAGUCGACCCCUAAGGCGAGGCCGAAAGGCGUAGUCGAUGGGAAACAGGUUAAUAUUCCUGUACUUGGUGUUACUGCGAAGGGGGGACGGAGAAGGCUAUGUUGGCCGGGCGACGGUUGUCCCGGUUUAAGCGUGUAGGCUGGUUUUCCAGGCAAAUCCGGAAAAUCAAGGCUGAGGCGUGAUGACGAGGCACUACGGUGUUGAAGCAACAAAUGCCCUGCUUCCAGGAAAAGCCUCUAAGCAUCAGGUAACAUCAAAUCGUACCCCAAACCGACACAGGUGGUCAGGUAGAGAAUACCAAGGCGCUUGAGAGAACUCGGGUGAAGGAACUAGGCAAAAUGGUGCCGUAACUUCGGGAGAAGGCACGCUGAUAUGUAGGUGAAGUCCCUCGCGGAUGGAGCUGAAAUCAGUCGAAGAUACCAGCUGGCUGCAACUGUUUAUUAAAAACACAGCACUGUGCAAACACGAAAGUGGACGUAUACGGUGUGACGCCUGCCCGGUGCCGGAAGGUUAAUUGAUGGGGUCAGCGCAAGCGAAGCUCUUGAUCGAAGCCCCGGUAAACGGCGGCCGUAACUAUAACGGUCCUAAGGUAGCGAAAUUCCUUGUCGGGUAAGUUCCGACCUGCACGAAUGGCGUAAUGAUGGCCAGGCUGUCUCCACCCGAGACUCAGUGAAAUUGAACUCGCUGUGAAGAUGCAGUGUACCCGCGGCAAGACGGAAAGACCCCGUGAACCUUUACUAUAGCUUGACACUGAACAUUGAGCCUUGAUGUGUAGGAUAGGUGGGAGGCUUGGAAGUGUGGACGCCAGUCUGCAUGGAGCCGACCUUGAAAUACCACCCUUUAAUGUUUGAUGUUCUAACGUUGACCCGUAAUCCGGGUUGCGGACAGUGUCUGGUGGGUAGUUUGACUGGGGCGGUCUCCUCCUAAAGAGUAACGGAGGAGCACGAAGGUUGGCUAAUCCUGGUCGGACAUCAGGAGGUUAGUGCAAUGGCAUAAGCCAGCUUGACUGCGAGCGUGACGGCGCGAGCAGGUGCGAAAGCAGGUCAUAGUGAUCCGGUGGUUCUGAAUGGAAGGGCCAUCGCUCAACGGAUAAAAGGUACUCCGGGGAUAACAGGCUGAUACCGCCCAAGAGUUCAUAUCGACGGCGGUGUUUGGCACCUCGAUGUCGGCUCAUCACAUCCUGGGGCUGAAGUAGGUCCCAAGGGUAUGGCUGUUCGCCAUUUAAAGUGGUACGCGAGCUGGGUUUAGAACGUCGUGAGACAGUUCGGUCCCUAUCUGCCGUGGGCGCUGGAGAACUGAGGGGGGCUGCUCCUAGUACGAGAGGACCGGAGUGGACGCAUCACUGGUGUUCGGGUUGUCAUGCCAAUGGCACUGCCCGGUAGCUAAAUGCGGAAGAGAUAAGUGCUGAAAGCAUCUAAGCACGAAACUUGCCCCGAGAUGAGUUCUCCCUGAC
rnacentral:rRNA from 1 species